UUAGUUUUGUUUCAUCAUAUCUUUUGUUCACGGUCGUGCGAUAGCACCAGGCUAUGGAACCUUGUUUGACGCAGUGCAAUGUUUCGGAGGAUUCGAACCGUGUCAUGAUCAUGGGGACGUCAGUUGCACUGUUUUUUGUAAGAUAUAUAAGUAUGAUUUUGGUGUAUGUACUAAAUAUAGCGGAUGUUGUUGUCAUGUACAUAUUGAUAAUUAAAUCUGUCCAAGAUGAAUUGAACUAAUCAAAA